rnacentral:rRNA from 1 species
AUGGCGAAGUUCGGCGAGGGCGACGCACGCUGGAUCGUGCAGGAGCGCGCCGACGGUGCCAACGUCCACAACUGGCACUGGGCGGAGCGCGACUGUCUCGACUGGUCUCGCGCGCUUCUCUCCAAGCUCCUCGCGGGCCUCCCCGUCCUCUCCGGAGAGGGCGGCCUCACCCUCCGCACCACCACCCUCGACAAGCUUGAUGGCGAGGCCUACGUCAACAUCCGCAAGGGCAAGGUCAUCCCAGGGUACGAGCUUUCCCUCACGCUCGCCUGGGAGGCCGAUGCCACAACCGAGUCGGGGCUCGUCAAGGUCACCGGCACCGCUGAGGUACCCUACCUCGCUGACGAGAACGCCGACGAGGACCCCGAACUCCGCAUCACUGUUCGCGGUGACGACGGCCCCCUCGCGCGCCGGGCCAAGGAUGCUUUCAUCGCCCAUGGCAAGCCUCUGGUCAUUGCCAAGAUCCGGGAUUAUGUCGCCGCCAUGGCGAAUGGUGGCCCCGCCAAGGACGAGAUAGAUUCUAAGAAGAUUUCCACCAAGGCCGCCCCAGCGGCUGUUGCUCCUGCUCCUUCAGUGAAGGUGACAGCAGCGCCAGUGCAGGCGCCAGCAGCUAAGGAGAAGAAGGCGAAUGGCAAGGAUAAGGAAGGAUUCAAGACUAUCGAGAUGACAGAGAAGUUCAACUGCCGCUCCAAGGACAUCUAUGAGAUCUUGAUGGAUGACAACAGGUGGAAGGGUUUCACACAGAGCAACGCGAGGAUCAGCAAGGAUGUUGGUGGGCAGUUUAGCCUCUUUGAUGGGUCCAUCACAGGUGUUAAUGAGGAGCUGCAGGAAGGGAAGCUGAUCGUGCAGAAAUGGCGGUUUGGGAGCUGGGCUGAUGGUGUCCAUUCUACAGUCAGGUUGGUGUUUGAUGAGCCUGAGUCAGGAGUGACAAUAAUAAAGCUCAAACAAACUGAUGUGCCAGAGGAAGACAGGUAUGGGAACUCAACCGUGGUGGAGAACACCGAGAAAGGCUGGAAAGAGCUCAUCUUCCAGAGGAUACGUGCAGUGUUCGGUUUUGGGGUCUGA